GGAGACCUCUGGGGAUGCUGAGACACUUGGGGACACUUGGAGACACUGGGACACAGAUACACAUGGGGACACUGAGACAUGGGGACACAGAGACACAUGGGGACAUUUGGGGACACUAAGACAUUGGGACACUGAAACACUAGGGGACACUGAGACGUGGGAAAACUGAGACACUAGGGGAUGCUGGGCGACAUGGGGACACAGACACACAUGGGG